AUGGGAGAGAGGCAAAGCGGACUUGCAAACGACUUCCCUUUGAAAGCACAAUCAAAGAGACACGAGGACACCACUGAACAGCACCUGUGGUCCCAGGGCCUCCUGGACUUCAAUCUGGUGCUUGGCGGCCUCCAGCCUCCUCUCUGCAGCCUGCCGGCCCUCUUCAAACUCCUUCAGGCGGCCGGCCAGCUCCUCCAGCUGGGAGGUGCGGUUGUGGAGCCUGUCGGCCAGUCCGUCCACCCUGCCGUUCAGCUGGGCCUUCUCAUCACGUACCUGCAGCAACCCGCAUUGUUCCAGCAGCUGAUCUGCUGCAGUGUUGAAGGCCUCAAGAAGAGGUUGUCUCCUCUCGAGGUCCAGUGCCAAGCCCCGGGCCUUCUGCAAGGCUUCGUCCAGCGCCGCAGAGUCCAGCGCCGGCUGGAUCUCCCCGUCUCGCUGGUCGCACUCGGCCAACCACGGCAUCAGCUCGGCCCGGUGCUGCUGGUAGGCCUCCGCUCUGCCCAGCGCGUUCUUCAGCCUGGCCUCUCGCUCCGACAUUCCCUGGUUCAACCCUUCCCAGUCCCGCUUCAAGGACGCAAGGCGGGACUGCAGGGCGGACCGCUCGUCUCCGCCCGCGGGCAGCGUGGCGAGCAGCGACGCCCCCUCGGCCUGAAUCAGCUCGUAGGAGCCUCGCUGGCUGGCGACUGCUCGCUGGAGCUCGUCCGUGUGCGCCAGCAGGGAGCGGACGGCCGCCGGCUGACAGGGCAGCGGGUCGGCGGGGGACUCGCCGGGAUCGGCCCGCUUGUCGAGCCACGAGCGCAACUCCUCGAACAUCUGCUGGAACUGCUGGGUGGACGACAGGGCGGCCUGCAGCUGAGACAGGCCGUCGGCUGGAGGAGAGGAAAUAAAAACGCCGCACGACUAAUUCAAACAAACAGCAUUUAGGGAGUUUUUGUAGUAUUUAUUUUAGCGGAUUUGCUGCUUGUUUAAUUUCAAUCCAAACAAUAUUCCCGUUCCAGCUAAAGACGGAUUACGGUUGAAAUGCAAUAUUGUUUGACUGUCAAACUGUGACUGAUGAAUUCAUCAAACAGAACCAACACUAAUAUAAAUCCAGCAGGACUGGACCUAGAAAGAAAAAAGACAAACAAACCUGCGCGCUCCUCCAAGUUCUUCAGCGGCCCGCUGACGCUCUCUAGGCGCUUACUCAGCUCUUCCUUCAGGUACGGCUCGGCCACGAUGGCGCUCAGCUCGCCGCAAAGCCGCUCAGCCUCGGCCAGCUCCGUGCGACGUCUCUCCAGCUCCGAGCGGAUCUCUCCGGUUUCCUGCAGGCGGCGUUUCAGCGCCUCGGGCUGGGCGCUCAGCGAGGCCUGACCGUCCAGCCUCUCGGCCAGAGCAGAAACGCUGGAGGAGAGCUCUCGGAGCAAGUCCUGGGCGGGAGGAGGGGGGUUAGGAGACGGCGCGGUCUAACGCGACAGCAUUCAACCAAUCCAGGCGAGACGCACCUGGUACCGCCCGCUGGUCCCCUGGGCCUGGUCAAUGUGCUUCGAUCUCUGGGUCAGUCGGUUUGUAAGGUCCUCCCACUGCUGUGUGAUGGAGCCCAGCUCAGACCGCACCUCCGCCAGGUCCUCGGGGUCCUGAGCAGAGUCGCCAGUCUGGGAGAGGAUCCCCUCGGCGGACUGGGUCAGCUGGUCGAACUGUGGCCGCCUGGUCUCGAACUCACGCAGCAUGAACUUGGAGAGAGGGGGUUAUGUGGUUAAUCAGGAACUUAAAUAGCGGGUUUCGGGAAAAAUGGAAUUGCAUUGACAAAAGAAGUGCGUCGCUCACACCAAACAGAUUUUUGGCGUUGCAUUACUUGUGGGAUCAUUUGGAUUCAUAACAUAUUUAGCUGUAUGUAGCCCAAAUAAAUCUGUUUUGAGCUGUAUUUCCAAUAAAUGGAUGGAAGGGACACUGAAACAACCACAUAAUGUUUGUCCCUCCCAAAGAAAACUAGCAAACUACUUUUAAAACACUCGAUUCGAUUGGCCUUGCUAACAUUGUAGCAGCUCAACACUCAAAAUAUGGUUUAUGCACAUAUGUUUAUACACAUCAUUUCGUGUGGUGACAGCAUCAAGCUAAUAUUACUGCAUUGAUUUUGUGUGUAGUUUAGGGGUGCAAUACACAGCCAAAUGGAAUAUUGGAUUGUGAUUUGGAAUUUGAAUUGUACCAUGUCCAGUCCUUCUUAAGAAUGUGAAGCAUUAAAAUAUGUUCUUAUCCUCAUAAUCAGCUUGCCUCCAUAACUUAACUGCAGUCUCAAGUGUCAAAACAACAGAAAUGUACUAGCGGAAAGCGUUAAUAUGUGUAUUUAUAGUGCAAGAAAUGAUUAAAACACUGGUUGUUUUGAUGGUUCCUUGUUUUUAAUGCAUUUCUGCUGACGGUGGCGUUUCUGGACCUUCUCCGCUCACAUACCUGCGCUUGUUGCCUCUGCGUGUUGAGCAUGUUGGGGUCGAUGCUCAGCGGCCCCAGCACGCUCAUCAUCAGCUCCUUCUCCCUCAGCCACGGGCCCAGCUGAGCCGCCGCCGAGGCAAAGCUGCCCAGCCUGUCGGCACACGCCUCCAGCUCCGUCUGCCUCUCGGCCGCGGCCUGAUUGGCCGUCUGCCAGCGGGAGUCUGAGGGAACAUCACCAAUAGAGGCGAGGAAGCAGUUUUUGGUCAUCAUCAAACAUGUUGCAUGUUCUGCUUUGCUUUUUAAGUGGUCCACCACUAAAAGGUGCAAUGUGUUAGACUCGUCCCCUGUGAUACCACUUGUACCUGCAGAGGCGAUAAUGAGUCACUGCAGUGUCCCGUCAGUCCUCAUCCAACAUGCUGCUCCGUGAGCUCUUCUACCCCACCGAAGGUAAUUCAUAUAUAAAUGACAACCUAAAUAAAAGUGUGACUGUGUGGACAGCGCAGUAGAGGUGAAAUGCUGCGAGGCAUUCGUUUGGAGCACGUGGCCAAGUACAACACACCGGAGAAAAAAAAACAGUGAUAAUGAUGAAACCAAACCUAACAAACAUUCUUCAUCCUUUGACUCUCUUCUUACUCCUCCCCGCUGCCGGUUUCUCCCCGAAUCACGUUCUGAGCGUCUGUGUGUGUAUUCAGUCUAAAAAUGCCUUAUAAGAUAUGGGACAUGAAGGCCGCGCUCUUAAAUAUUUCUGUCUUGGUUACAUCAUAGGAGGCCCUGGUAAAAAUAUCAAGUAUGCGAGAGAACAAACAGCUCCGACAGGAACACAUCCCACGCUCUCUCUGGAGAGCGCCAUCGCUUAGAAAAAAUGAUGCAGUGCCGAUGGGUUUUUAACGGUUUUCAAUAAAACGCCAGUUACCACGCUUAAUCUCGUUUCUAAUACCCCCCCACCUCCUCCUCCUCCUCCUCACGCUUUUUCUUUUGCUACUUCAGUUUUAUUACUCAUUCUUGUUGACUGACAUGAUGAGGUUGACAUUUUCAAUACUGAUACUGACUGAACGAAGGGUUUUAACUGGUUCGUGUUCCAGAAUAAUAUACUUUGACCACAACAGGAUUGUCACCUGUGUGACCGCACAGUAUUUUCAUAACCCCUCAGCGAGGUAUUCCUUGUCGGAUCACUUAACUACUAGUGUUUGGUAUCUGCAUGAUCGGAGACCGAGCUGUAAUCUAUCCAGCCUCUUGCCAAUGGUUGUCGCACAAUCCUGCCAUGUCAUUCCUUCUUUUUGUUGUCUGCAGUACCCACCAAUCUCUUGCAG
ensembl:lncRNA